GGAAUUUUCCGCAAUGGGCGAAAGCCUGACGGAGCAACGCCGCGUGAGGGAUGAAGGCCUCUGGGCUGUAAACCUCUUUUCUCAAGGAAGAAGAUCUGACGGUACUUGAUGAAUAAGCCACGGCUAAUUCCGUGCCAGCAGCCGCGGUAAUACGGGAGUGGCAAGCGUUAUCCGGAAUUAUUGGGCGUAAAGCGUCCGCAGGCGGUCUUGUAAGUCUGUCGUUAAAGCGUGGAGCUUAACUCCAUUUGAGCGAUGGAAACUGCAAGACUAGAGUGUGGUAGGGGCAGAGGGAAUUCCCGGCGUAGCGGUGAAAUGCGUAGAUAUCGGGAAGAACACCAGUGGCGAAGGCGCUCUGCUGGGCCAUAACUGACGCUCAUGGACGAAAGCCAGGGGAGCGAAAGGGAUUAGAUACCCCUGUAGUC
rnacentral:rRNA from 1 species